GCACUCACUUCCGUAGCACACACACUGAAAUAGAAGUGAUGCAGAGAAGAUUACCGUAGGCGUCAUGGAAGGAUGACAUGCAAAUUUGUGAAGCGUUCUAUAUUUUU
ensembl:snRNA U6 U6 spliceosomal RNA